CAGCACAGAGCCCGACACAGGGCUCAAACUCAUGAGCCAUGCAAUCAUGAGCUGAGCUGAAGUUGGAUGCUUAACUCACUGAGCCACCCAGAUGCCCCUGAAAUCAGCCAUUUAAAUAAAGCUAGCAUGGAUGAAUAUAAUCUGGAAUAGUAAGGGUUAAGAGUUUUUUUUUCUUCAAAGCCCCCCAUCCUCUAUUGUUGAGAUUUCUGUCAUCAUAGAAGCAUAGAAUGGUAGUGAUUCACUAGUACAAAUUUCUCAUCUAAUAGCUAAGAAAACUGAAGCCCAUAGAGGGUGAAGUACUUAUCCAAGGUCACACAGCUAGAAGGUGGCAGAGUCAAAAAUACAAGUGAGGUCUUCUGAUUCUAAGUCAAGAGAUCUUUUACUAUACCUCAGAGGUCUUCUGGCAAAAGUGGAAAACUUAAAAACAGUAUAUUAAAUACUGUCCUAAGGCUAGAGUCCAGGUAGAAAACUGUAAACAUUCCAUACAUUUGGUCCACUUCUCACAAGUUAAGUUUCGCUAGCGCAUGCUUUGUUUUAAUUAUGGCAAAGAAUGCUUGGUCUUGUUCCAGUCUACUCAGUUUCUUCUUCUUCCUAAGCCUUCUGUCUCUGGUCUCUGCCUUGUGCGCCUCCCGCCCCACCCCCCCCCCCAACCCCUGCCCAUCCCAAGGACUGAUAAGUAGGACUCUGCUGUGUGAAUCACAAACACCUACAACUGAGACAAGCACACAAUCAACUUGCUAGGAGAUCCAUGCCACUUAAGUGGCCGCAGGCAGCUGCCCCCAUCCAGACUUCUUCACGGGAGAAUUCCAGAGGCCACAGAACUUCGCAUUCAUGGGGGAUUCCCCUCUGAACAUCUUGUCAACAGAGCACACACUCCUAAUCUGACAGGAGGAGUGGGUUUUCCUAUCCAGGCAGGUGACAUAGAGAAUGCCAGCCUAUUGACAUGAAGCCAAAGGGCAGUUGGCUCAGAUCAUUCUCUUAUUCAUUGACCUUUGUCAUGAAGCUUUGACCUUCCUCAUGAAUAAUCACUGUGAUGUGAUUCAGUUAACAUUUGCCAACCAAUGAGGCCUUCCCGGUGAUCACAGAAUCAGGAGUCAUCACAGAGGCUGGAUUAAUCCAAUUCAUUGAAGAUUCUCUUCAACAUGUCCAAGAAUCCCAGUGAACCCCAAGGUGCAUAAACACAAACCACACCAAGGCACUACACAAUCAAAUUUCUGAAAAGCAGGGAUAAAGACAAAAUCUUAAAGAUGAGACUAAUCACUGGUUUGUCAUCAAAAACAAUGCAAACCAGAAGAUAUUGGGAACAUCUUUAUUUUUUUAAAGUUUAUUUAUUUAUUUUGAGAAAAAGAUUGCAUGGGAGGAGCAGAGAGCGAGAGAGGGAGAAUCCCAAGCAGGCUCUGUACUGUCAGUGCGGAGCCCGA